rnacentral:sRNA from 1 species
UAUAGGUCAUGUGGAACUAAAAACGCAAUAUUGAAAUUUUGGAUAAUACGGUUAAGGAGCGAGAGGAAAGCAUCAAACAUGACGAAUUCUGCAAAACGGCAAGAAUAUGCAGCACUGCUGCUUGAAAAGAUGCAGAAAGGUGACAUUACAAUCGAAGAGAAGCAGACAAUAAAUGACUAUAAAAGAGAUCUUACAAGAGCAGUGCUGGUCAGGUCUUUACCCAGUUCGUUUGUUAUUUAUGGGUAUUACAUGUAUAAAAAUAAAGGAGCAAGAAUUAGUGUGCUUAAAUCUAUUAUGUGUGGCGCUGGUGGACUGCUCUUUGGAUUGUUUGCGACACCGGGCAAGAAACUAUGGGAGACAGCCAUGGAAAAAAAUCACAUCACACCUCAGCAUGUCCUCGGGAAAAUAACUCAGCUACAGGCGAAAACAAAUUUUUUGUCAGAUGAAAUGAUAGACCAGGAAAUUGAGAUGUUGAAAGCACAAAAACGGUCUAAGCCUGGCUUAGUUUUGUCAAGAUCUGAAUUUGAGAAUGAAAAAUCGCAACCAGAGACAAACUUUGACGACUCUCAGCAGCCAAAGAGUAGUUUAUCAUUUAUUUCUGGAGGAACAAAUGAGGAAAUGUCAGGGCAAUCAAUGGAUGAACCAGAGAGUUUAAUGGAGAAACGGUUACGACGGAAUAGAAAGCAUAGAAUGAAGCAUGCUGGUGAUGAUGUGAACCCAUCUGAAGAAAAUUAUACCAACUCUGCAGGGGUUAAAGUUAACAAGUAUGGAGAUCCAAUUGAAUAAUCAGUCCAACAAGCUCAAGGACAAUUGUUUUCAUUAUUAAACAAUGGGAAAACUUGUAGCAUAUGCUUGAAUACAGUGUACAUUUCUGAUGACUUCUGUAUGAAACAGUCAUUAAAAAUAAAUAUCUUACCUAUGUAUGGACAUAAUAUGCUGUUAUAAUUUCUGAAUCACAUUCUUUGAAUCUUGUUGGGGAAUUCUGUAUGUGAAGAAACUAUUGGUACAAAGAGCGUAUGCAGGUUUAAUGAUACAAGAUCUGUAGUAGAUAAUAUUGUAGUCCAACCACUCGCCUUGAAUUUGAUUGUUAGUUCAUUUAGAUUUGGACUUGCUGAAUUAAUAUUAAGUAGAUUCUAUGUUUGUCCUCGUAUAUUGGCAAAUUGACUACUUGAUGAAUGCCCAGUGGAUUAGAAUCAAGCCUCUCUUCCUAUCCUAUCAUAGCAUUGGAGAGGUUUGCCUAUAAGACUGACUAAACCCCUAAGCAAUGAGAAAAACAGAAGUAACAACAUUGCCCUCCUGAGAUUGGUUUUUGUUUUUACUUUGACCGUCUAUCGGUCCCUUAAUUUCUUGCAUCCAUGGGUUAAGGUACCAAGAAACAUACUCGUUUAUUAGCUUGAUUCCAAUGAUUCACAAGCUUAUGACUCUUUGUGUGUUAUCAGAAAAUUUCUGUUUUAUAUUUAUAGGUACAUGUACAUGUAUGUUACUUUGAAUAAUCUAGGAUCUCCAGUUGGGCCCCUUCCUAACCCUAUAAAGGGUCCUGGUUUGAACAACCAUAAAUAUAAGGAAGCAUAAAAUAAUCUCUCGGAAUAAGCAUCUAAGUCUGUAAAAUUCAUUAGAAUCCAAGAUGCAUCAUAAAAUGUUAAUGGAAUUUGUGACAAUAACUAAAGAAAAAGGACCUGUCCCUUUAAUCCGAAUAUGAUGUUGAAAAUAAUAGCAUACUCCCCUCCCCCAAGUCUUUGUUGGUGAGCUAAAAUGGUCUAACAAUACUGAUACAUGUAUAUUUUCUUAGUCCUUCCUCCCUACUACAAGGAAAUUUUGGGCUUCUUGUUUUGGGAACACACUUGUAAUUUUUACUUUAAACUGUUAAAAAUUACAACAUGUGUCUUUGGGAAACUUGAAUAUCAACUUGAUAUCAACCGUUUCUUCGGGUAGAACAUCUUACAAGAAAUGUAGAGGUUUCGGGAACAAUCCCCUAUCCAAUCAUUAAUUUAUUUUGACGUGCUCUUGCCUUUUUCUUUCUUUUCCUCCUGAACAUAAAAACCCUGUUCAUUUCUUUCCUGUCUAAUAGUUGCCAGUAAAUCAACACAAAUCAAAUCAAAUCAAGCCUUUACUUUGACACAUAAAACCAUUCUGUAUAUAUGUCUGUAAAGAAAAUUUACAAAAAACAAAAUCUUACAUGUAAUUUUGUAAGCUGCUUUCCUUAAAAUUUCAAUUUUCUGUUUACUUGUGUAGCAAUCUAAACCAUUUGAACUGUGUUAACAAUAUUUAAAAACAUGUUAAACAUAAUGCUAUGGAAUUUUUAUCAUUGUUUAAACAACUGUGAGUUCUAGAUUUAAAUGAAUCCACCUGCAAUCAGUAUCUUUGAAUAUUCCACAAUUGAAAUACAUUGUAUUUUAUGCCAUAAAAGCAAAAGAU